UAACUACCCAGUCAGUUCUCAUAAGGGCAUGGUUAUGGUUCGGAUGUGAGGGGGCCCCCCAAAAGCUCACGAGUGAGACAGUGCACAAGAUUCAGAGGAGAAACGACCCAAUCAGGGAUUCAAUCCCCUGUGGGGAUUAACUGAAGUGGUGGGCUAUGGCUGGAGGAGGUGGGGACUGAGGCGUGGCUUUGGGUAUACAUUUGUACUUGGCGAGUGGACUCUCUCUGCUUCCUCAUCACCACAAAAGCCACUUCUCUCUGCCACACUCUUCUGCCAUGUUGUUCCUGUCUCUCUUUGAGCCCCGAGGAAUGGAGCCGGCUGUCUAUGAAACAAGUCCUGUUCCAUGCAAAAACUCCUCCUGAGCAUCUCUGUUCCAGAUGGACUUGGCUCCCAGGCAGAAGUCCGAGCACCUUCCCUGGCUGCUACCCACCAUGUUUAAAAUGACCACACCACAAGAUGGAAGGAGCUUGGAUCCCUGAGUCAUUGUUUGGAGGAGAGCCCCCAAAGAAGAACUUCCUCACCUUCACUGGACUGUGAUGCAAAAGGAAUAGAAACCUGUAAGAUGAUUUAGCUGUGAAGGUUUGGAGAUUGUUACUGCAACCAGCACUUAGUGCAUGAGUAAUAAUAAGGGAAUGAAAAUGGAGACUCCGCCAUCUCUUACCUCAGAUCCAGCAACUAGUUUAAAAUGACCUCCCUUUGCUGGCAGCAGGAUUUCCUGUACAUGCUUUAUGGAUGGGCCUGGCAGCUCUUGGUUUGAAGUUGGAUAAGAAAGAGGUGGAAAGUCACAUCACACAACGCUGUUGUUCAGAGGAGGUACCAGAAUUGAGCAGUAGGGGUCAAGAAUAUGAAAACAUUUACAUACAAGA
rnacentral:lncRNA from 1 species